CGGCCGGCGUCAGCGUGCAGUUUGUUCCGAGUAUCGAACAAGGCCACAACCAGCCUGGCCGGUCCCGCACUUCGACAACACGUCGGAAAAUCCAAACAUAUCAUAAUCAUAGACAAAAAAAAAGCAAAAUAAAUCUCGGUGAAAGGAGCACACUUUUUCGGUAAUGUUCUCCUCCUCAGUGCCUCCACUCGCCGACCACUCUUCAUCAACUUCUUCGCACGGUGCUUACCUGUGCAGAUUCGGCAUCCGCUAAAGCUCGCAAUGUGCCGAGCAAUCUUUACAGACACGAUAUGACCUAAUCCAUACAUUCAUACAUUUCUCAUAUCAUUCUCCAGGAGGCGUAGCUACACUUUAACUAUACCUAAACCUCUUGCAAUACUAAAAAAGAUCCAACUAAACCUCUUACAAUACUUCGAGAGGUGCAGAUAAACCUCUUACAAUACUUCAAGAGGUGAAGCUAAACCUCCUGAAAUACUCCAAAAGGUCCAGCUAAACCUCUUACAAUACUUCAACUGGUAUAGCUAAACCUCUUAUAAUACUUCAGGAGGUGCAACUGAAUUGAAUUGAAUAUUUCAGAAGGUGCAGUUAAACCUCUUACAAUAUUUCAGGAGGUGAAGCUAAACCUCCCCGAGCAAUGCACCCGUUAUUCUAAUAUUAUUUACACUCACAUCGAGAGCGAGUCCGGAAUUUGGCAACACUCUCGCGAGUAUUAUUUACAGCAUCCAGAAUUUAUCCCGGUGGGCUGGGGCAUAAAUACUACAACACCAUGUGCUCCCCUUGUUUCACUUCACCCAGAAGCUGAUAGAAACUUUAUGAAUCUAUGGCCUUUCAGCUAUUUGUGAGAAGCAAACGCGACUUCUUCGAUCUUCGAUCCCCAUCAUUAUCGAGGACCUUAGCCAAGAAAACAGGCCUGUUUUCUCCACUUAUUACAAAUCGAUCAUUCUAUUUUUGUAUUCGCGUAUGUGGCUAUGAAACUCGCAUCAAUCCGGCUUAUCAUUCUAUUUCGACGCGCUCCUGAUUUUUCUC